GAUGAAGAACGUAGCGAAAUGCGAUAAGUAAUGUGAAUUGCAGAAUUCAGUGAAUCAUCGAAUCUUUGGACGCACAUUGCGCCCGCCAGUAUUCUGGCGGGCAUGCCUGUCUGAGCGUCAUUUCAACCCUCAGCCCCCGCUCGCGGGGCGCUGGCGUUGGGGAUCGGCCGUCCUCGCGGCGGCCGGCCCCGAAACACAGUGGCGGUCUCUCGCGGACUCCCCUGCGUAGUAGCACUACCUCGCAGAAGGGACGAGCGGGCUGACCACGCCGUAAAACCCCCCACUUCUCCAGGUUGACCUCAGAUCAGGUAGGAAUACCCGCUGAACUUAAGCAUAUCAAUAAGCGGAGGA
rnacentral:misc_RNA from 1 species